CUGCUCCCAUCAGUUACUGCAUGAUGGCCCUCAAACUAUACGGAAUCUAUGGAGCGGUCACCCCAGUUCCCACUGAGGCAGAGUCAAGCUCUGCAUCCCUCCAUAGACUGCUGCCCACUGCAAAAAGGAGCUUCUCUGAUGGAGGCUGAG